CGAGACCUCAGGUCAGGCGGGGCUACCCGCUGAAUUUAAGCAA
rnacentral:rRNA from 1 species